UGGGCCCCGUCUCUCAUAUCAUGUCCCGUGAUCCUCAGCGUCAAAUGGCAGGAGGAAGAAACGAAACGAGUCCGAACGAGACGAAAGACGAAACAUAAAAAAAACCCUAACCGAUGUCCGACAAGAAUCACAGCUCCCUCUGGUGUUUUAUGAAAGGAGCUUGUUGAUGGUGCGAGUCUGUGGGAAGGUUCUCCAUCCUCCAAGACCGUCCCUCUGACAUGGUGACAUUGGCCUCCAGGAACCUACAAAUGCAGCCAUGAGGGUUGAAGAAGACGGGCAAACAUGACCAUGUGACAUCUAGUGGGUGACGUCACUCUAAUGCAUCGGAAAUAUACGGACGAGGUCAGUUUAUAUCGAGGACUCUUUACCUUUCGGUACAAAGCAGAAUUCUAUUUUUCAAAACAUCACGAUUAUAAAGUUUUAGUACAUUAAUCCCUGGAUACAUUGACAAUGUUGUCUUCUUAACUGUUCGAAAGGAGAAUGACGGGAAGUAUGUUAGGAACCGCAGACUGAAUUUUUCUAAAGCAUUAAGACCUUUGCUUAUGUAAUAUAAUCCAAUAACUGCAGUUUUCGUGAAAGAUUGAAGAUUAUGUGUCAAAACCCUUCACCCAAACCGACCAAACAGAUAUUUCAUGAGUCACUUUACGUCAACUCACAUGGAACAGAAUAUAAUCAUUAAAUUACUAAUCACUGUUAUUACCCGGUAGUUUUCACUGCAAUGUCAUAUAUCAGACAGUUUACAUAAGUUUUAUAUAUAUAUCCUCCAAAGAAACACUAAGAAGGAGGCACAUAGAUAUCACUUGACUGUCUUUCCACAUUUGUCAACUUUUGACAAGCUGCAGUGUGAGCAUGACCACAAGAAUGAUUGUCAAUAAUUCUACACAGUUUAUAUCAGGUUUGACUCUUGACUUUGAGAAACUGAAGAGGACAAAAUAAUAAUUUCUCUCAUCUCAUUUUGGUCUG
rnacentral:misc_RNA from 1 species